ACUAAAAUAACUAAUUUUUAAAUAUUUUGAUUAGUACGUAAUUUAUUUUUAUUUGAAUAUUUUAGUUUAUAUUUAACGGUGUUAACAGGCUAUGAAAAACAAAGUUGGAGCAGGAAAGGGGUUUGUGUUAUAUAUGUAGAGUAGUAUAGCAAUUCUUUUAAAGUAUAAUUAAUAAUAAAGUUUGGAUUAUUCUAGAAUGUAUGAAGAAAUUAAAGACAGUGGGAAAUAGACAAAAAGAAAAAGAAAAGAAAA
rnacentral:lncRNA from 1 species